rnacentral:rRNA from 1 species
UGCGUAGGCGGUUUGAUAAGUCAGAGGUGAAAGCCCACAGCUCAACUGUGGAAUUGCCUUUGAUACUGUUAGACUUGAAUCAGGUUGAGGUUGGCGGAAUGUGGCAUGUAGCGGUGAAAUGCAUAGAUAUGCCAUAGAACACCAAUCGCGAAGGCAGCUGACUAGACCUGUAUUGACGCUGAGGCACGAAAGCGUGGGGAGCGAACAGGAUUAGAUACCCUGGUAGUCC